AGUAAAGAAUUUAUAAAUUAAUAAAAACAUUCCCUUUGCAGUGUUCUUACAGCUUUCUGCCCACAUCAACCUUUUUCUCAGGAUUUCAGAACAUAGAAAAAUAUUCUUACAACAUUCAUGGUUACAUUAUUUUUAGUGUGGUUCUCAUUCUGUGGUUUCUUUCACAUACAUUUGUUUGUACAGUAUUUACACCAAAAUCAGUCCGCGCUGUUUAUCGGCUUCAACGAACGAGACACCAGAGCGCGGUUUGCAUAGAUCAAAGGGGAGGAAGGAAAAACACGAAAAAGUGACGAUGUUCUGUACCAAGUGUACAUACAGACCAAAAAAAAAAAAAUAAUAAUAACAAUAAUAAUAAUAAUAAUAAGACGUGUGCUGCACACAACGUGAAGAAAUUCUCCUACAAAACACCUGAAUUCUUCAGGUAUUAAAAGUAAAAACAACAGUUUCCCUGGUGAUACUUAUAAAAUAUAGAGAUAUUUUAUUUACAGAAGUGUGGGAUCAGGGAAGAAAUGACAGAGGAGCCACA